rnacentral:rRNA from 1 species
AACUAACGCUGGCGGCGUGCCUAACACAUGCAAGUCGUACGAGAAAGCCGGCUUCGGCUGGUGAGUAAAGUGGCGCACGGGUGAGUAACGCGUGGAUAAUCUGCCCUUAAGUGUGGAAUAACGUACCGAAAGGUGCGCUAAUACCGCAUAAUGCCUGGCAACACAAGUUGUCCGGCCAAAGAAGGCCUCUGUUUACAAGCUUUCGCUUCAGGAUGAGUCCGCGUACCAUUAGCUUGUUGGUGGGGUAAUGGCCUACCAAGGCUGCGAUGGUUAGCUGGUCUGAGAGGAUGAUCAGCCACACUGGAACUGAGACACGGUCCAGACUCCUACGGGAGGCAGCAGUGAGGAUAUUGCGCAAUGGGGCAACCCUGACGCAGCAACGCCGCGUGAGUGAGGAAGGUUUUCGGACUGUAAAGCUCUGUCGAGCGGGAAGAAGUGUACCAUGGCUAAUAUCCAUGAUAUUUGACGGUACCGCUAGAGG